rnacentral:rRNA from 1 species
UACGUAGGGUGCAAGCGUUAUCCGGAAUUAUUGGGCGUAAAGGGCUCGUAGGCGGUCUGUCACGUCGGGAGUGAAAACUCAGGGCUUAACCCUGAGCCUGCUUCCGAUACGGGCAGACUAGAGGUAUGCAGGGGAGAACGGAAUUCCUGGUGUAGCGGUGAAAUGCGCAGAUAUCAGGAGGAACACCGGUAGCGAAGGCGGUUCUCUGGGCAUUACCUGACGCUGAGGAACGAAAGUGUGGGGAGCGAACAGG